CACACAGAUAACACAGAAUCCUGCCGAGCCCCCCGUGACUCUGUUCCACCUCCGUCCGACGUUGGAGUGGAGUAGCUGUACCUGAGAAUGCUAGGCGGCGGGGGAGACGGAUUCAUUUGAGAUGGGCAUGGAGAGAUCACGGAUCUGAGUGGAGGUCCGCUUGCUGGAAGCCUGGAACAAGAGGAGCCAGGGAAUCAGCCGCAGGUCCGGGCGGGCGGCACCGGAAUCGCCGCCGGCGCUAUCCCGCGCCGGGGCACCGCCGCUGGUGAGAUCCCGCGCCGGGAGGCAUUGUUCAACUAGAUCCCAGCUCAAAAUAGGCAGGCAGGAGGCUUCGCUAAAUCUGUACCUGCGUCCAUGAUUUGGCCGUCAGCAUGCAGAAUCACAGCAAGCUCAAUAAGCUGCCCACAAUUCUGGAAGAAGAUGAGUCAGACAGGGGUGACUGGUGUUCUAUCUAGACAGCAUCAACCUAGGCGAUAUAAGCAUGGCACAUGAUGUUUUCCCAAGAAUAAAAGUGUUCACAGCAGAAAAAAUUAGAUCCAUGAUUAAUGCGGAGAAAAGGCCGGUGGAUUCAACCAAAAACGAAGAUUCCAUUUAUUGAAGUUUUUUUUACAAAUUCUACUCUACUUAUGACUAAGACGCACCAUUUGAACCAAGGGGAUUGUGCAUACCUUGAAUCCGGGCGAAAGCAGCGUAUCGGAAUCCGCCCAGCCGCCGUCGGUAGAGGAGGAUAAGUUCUUGGGGGAUAUGAACGAGCAGACGCUCGGCUUCCCACCAUUACUGCUCGGGCGCUGGUGUGCUCCCGAUUCUUCCAGUAAAAGAUGGAGUAGUACACACACCAGAUAAGAUUGGACUGCCGGCGACGAUGUUGGAUCUGUGGUCCGGUACAAAAUCCAAACGAAAAGGGGAUUCAGAAACUCAUACGGAAACAUAGUUCGAUUAGAACAGUAAUGGAAGCAGCUGAAUGAGUGCGUACCUUUCGCUGGCCGCUGCCGCCGGAUUGAUGUUGCGGCCGAGCGCCGGCGCCAUCGAAUCACCGCCCCGCGGCCCAUCCAUCUAGCUAUAAGUCAAAGAGCCAGAGGAGAGAGUCAGAUGUGUUCGGAG